rnacentral:rRNA from 1 species
GACGAACGCUGGCGGCGUGCCUAAUACAUGCAAGUAGAACGCACAGUUUAUACCGUAGCUUGCUACACCAUAGACUGUGAGUUGCGAACGGGUGAGUAACGCGUAGGUAACCUGCCUGGUAGCGGGGGAUAACUAUUGGAAACGAUAGCUAAUACAGCAUAAUAUUGAUUAUUGCAUGAUAAUUGAUUGAAAGAUGCUAUUGCAUCACUACCAGCUGGACCUGCGUUGUAUUAGCUAGUAGGUGAGGUAACGGCUCACCUAGGCGACGAUACAUAGCCGACCUGAGAGGGUGAUCGGCCACACUGGGACUGAGACACGGCCCAGACUCCUACGGGAGGCAGCAGUAGGGAAUCUUCGGCAAUGGACGAAAGUCUGACCGAGCAACGCCGGGUGGGUGAAGAAGGUUUUCGGAUCGGAAAGCUCUGUUGUAAGAGAAGAACGGGUGUGGGAGUGGAAAGUUCACACUGUGACGGUAUCUUACCAGAAAGGGACGGCUAACUACGUG